UUGAAAUUUAAGAGUUUUUGGAUCAACAUGGUGUGCAAAGUACAAACAACAAGCUUCCGAAAUGUAUCCCGCUCAAAUCCGUCUCUCUGACUCAAGAAUUCCCUUCAAAUUUUUUUGAAUUGCCAAAUGUCUGAUGUUGCAGUACCUUUUUCUUGGCUGCCAGCUUUACUUUUCUAUCAUUUCAAAUUCAAACACAAAAAUAAUCUGAUAUCUCCCACCAUAAUUCACUCCCCCCUUCUCUCUCUACAAAACCCAGUUGUCUCUACAAACGUUCAUCAUUCUAUUCAAAUGUAGGGGGUCUCGAAGACGAUGACAGAGGGCUUGGUUGGUUGCCAUAUUGGUGUAACAAGAUGACAGUGAGGAAUUUCAGCUGAGCCAAACUUCCGGCGACCUAGACUAGGGUUCCAAUCAACUUCCGUGAGCAGUUAGGGAUUUUGGCGAGGAGAUUAGGGUUCCGGCGAAACCCUUUCACUACAUGUUGUCACCUCUGUCGACAAUGGUAUUUUGCCCGUAUCUUUUCGGUUGUACACCUUAUUUAUAUCAUUUGGUAGCUAUUUUUUUUAUGUUAUAGAACUAAUUGAAGACCUGCAGUGGUGAAAGUUCUUAGACUGGAUGGUUUGUAUAUGAUUUACAGAUCUUUGUGGAAUGCAGGAGAUGGGGGUUGUCACCAGGAGAGGAUAAAAAGGAUCUAUUGCUGAUGCAUUUGUGAAUUUUAAGGCACUUAUAUAAUGCAGAAGUUCUAAGGCGCGUAUUAGCAGCAUAAAGGAAUCUAUUGCUGAUGCAUUUGUGAGUUUUUUUGUUGCUAAAUUUCAAACAUUUCAAUCAUAUUGAUUCAUAUGGCUCAAAGUUUAACCAGAUUUAGCUAAAUAUUGAGGAGAUGAGUUGCAUAUAUGUUUGUGAAUUUUUUAGUUAAAUGUCUAAAACUGAAACAGUUAAUGAAAGGAUCAUCUUUUGUGUACUUUAUAAAGAAGGGCUGUUCUGAAUACUAAUUAUGUUAUCUAUAAUAAUUAAUAUGAACAAAGAACAAUAUGUUUGGAGGUCCACCCUACCCAAACCAUUUGAACCCCUUAUUUUUUACUCUUUUGAUCCUUUUGCACGGAGGGAAAAUCCUCACAGGUGGUACAGUUAUAAAGUCCAAAGGAAACUUCGUACAACCCUCAUUAAUUGAGUUCUCACUGAGUGCCAACGUUGUGAAAGAACUUCUUGGUCCUGUCCUAUAUGUGCUGAAACUCACAGAACUAUAUAUGCUGAAACUCAGUCAGUUAUGAAACUCAUAGCCAGUCAAUAAUGGAAUCCGAUCUCUACCGGGGUUAACCUGGUGGGGUCUUUUAUUCCGAUAGCUGGUUUUCUUAUUUGUAAUUUUGUUUCUUUGUACUUUGGGAGUCUAGCUACUGUCCAGGCUCUUUGUUUCUAAUGAUAAUUUGCUUUGACUGUUCUAAAAAAUACACAUUCGAUAAUGUGUGCCCAAACUCAUUAAUACGAACCAAUUGGGAUUUGUUUUUUCUCCUUUGAAUUUAUGCUUAAAGUCUGCUUUUUGUGUGUAGAAGCUUCACAAAUUAGGCUAGCUAAACAAAUCAUGUGAGUUGGGCUUAACUUGUGGGAUUGUCCCAAAUAUGAUUUAAUAUCACUUUUACAUGUGAUUACUCUCUCUCAUAGAUUUCAUGGCUGGAAAUGAACAGUUUGGUCUUCAAAGGGAAGAAGACAUCGAUCGAUAGAGUGAUAGAGUGCUGAGAAACAUUAUUUCUUCUCUGUUCAACUGGAUUUCUCGUAGGACCAAUCAUAUGGAAACUUGCUGGAACUCUUGGUCCUCGAAUCUCCUUUGUAACUUGUAAUAUGCCAUAGUUGUUCUUUGUUUUGUUCGUUUGUAUCCAACAGCUCUUUGCUGGAGGCGUUUCUUUCGCCUUGUUUUAAUGAUAUCCCCCCCCCCAAAAAAAAAAUUAAAUAAAAAAA